CACAGUAACUCCCUUCCUUCGAGUCCAACGUGGAGAAGAGGAGGGAGAGAGUAACGAUGGGGUGCUGCAGUGGAGACUCCUGAUAAACACUACCUUAUCAGAUGCAUAAAUCCAGUGGAAUCAGGAGGAAACACCAAAUUACUCUAGAGGGGUGUCCUACAAGAUGCCUGGACUGGUAUUCCUCAAAAUUUCGAGGUCAUUACAAACAAGGAAAAUCUGAGAAACUGUCACAGCCAGGAGAAGCCUCAGGAGGCAUAACAACUAAAAUAUAACGUGAUGUACUGGCAUUAGAUAAAAACUAAAGAAA
rnacentral:lncRNA from 1 species